CCAUUUUUCCAGCUAUGAUCACCAACUUGAGAGUAUUUUCAAUUAAAGUUUUAUCAUUGCUUACUCGUUGACAAAGUUCAGCAUUUGUCUACCUAAUUCAGAUUUACCACUGCCAGGAUUACCAGAAAUAUAGUAAUACGUUAGUUCAUUAUUGUUAGUACUGCGCAAGUUAU